rnacentral:rRNA from 1 species
UACGUAGGGUGCGAGCGUUGUCCGGAAUUAUUGGGCGUAAAGGGCUCGUAGGCGGUUUGUCGCGUCGGGAGUGAAAACACGGGGCUUAACCCCGUGCCUGCUUCCGAUACGGGCAGACUAGAGGUAUGCAGGGGAGAACGGAAUUCCUGGUGUAGCGGUGAAAUGCGCAGAUAUCAGGAGGAACACCGGUGGCGAAGGCGGCGACCUGGUCCUUUUACUGACGCUGAGGCGCGAAAGCGUGGGGAGCAAACAGG